rnacentral:rRNA from 1 species
UACGUAGGGCGCAAGCGUUGUCCGGAAUUAUUGGGCGUAAAGAGCUCGUAGGCGGUUUGUCGCGUCUGCUGUGAAAACCUAAGGCUCAACCUUGGGCUUGCAGUGGGUACGGGCAGACUAGAGUGCGGUAGGGGGUGACUGGAAUUCCUGGUGUAGCGGUGGAAUGCGCAGAUAUCAGGAGGAACACCGAUGGCGAAGGCGGGUCUCUGGGCAACAACUGACGCUGGAGGA